rnacentral:rRNA from 1 species
CCUACGGGUGGCAGCAGUGAGGAAUAUUGGUCAAUGGGCGCUAGCCUGAACCAGCCAAGUCGCGUGAAGGAUGACGGCCCUAUGGUUUGUAACCUUCUUUUAUGUGGGCAUAAAGUGCAGAACGUAUACCUAUUUGUAUGUACCAUAUGAAUAAGCAUCGGCUAACUCCGUGCCAGCAGCCGCGGUAAUACGGAGGAUACGAGCGUUAUCCGGAUUUAUUGGGUUUAAAGGGUGCGUAGGCGGGUUAGUAAGGCAGAUGUGAAAGUUUGUGGCUCAACCAUAAAAUUGCAGUUGAAACUGGUUGCCUUGAGUACAGUAGAGGUAGGCGGAAUUCGUGGUGUAGCGGUGAAAUGCAUAGAUAUCACGAAGAACUCCGAUUGCGAAGGCAGCCUACUGGACUGUAACUGACGCUGAUGCACGAAAGCGUGGGGAUCAAACAGGAUUAGAUACCCUUGUAGUC